rnacentral:rRNA from 1 species
CCCCGCACAAGCAGCGGAGCGUGUGGUUUAAUUCGAUGCUACACGAAGAACCUUACCAGGGUUUGACAUACAAGUAGUAGGGAAAGGAAACUGGACCGACCUUCGGGGAGCUUGUACAGGUGCUGCAUGGCUGUCGUCAGCUCGUGUCGUGAGAUGUUCGGUUAAGUCCGCUAACGAGCGCAACCCGCGUUGUGUGUUACAAGUGUCACACAAUACCGCCGGUAUUAAGUCGGAGGAAGGUGCGGAUGACGUCAAGUCAGCAUGACCUUUAUAUCCAGGGCUACACACACGCUACAAUGGUCGGCACAAUAGGUUGCCAAGUCGUGAGACGGAGCCAACCCUCCAAAGCCGGCCUCAGUUCAGAUUGCAGGCUGCAACUCGCCUGCAUGAAGUUGGAGUUGCUAGUAAACGCAGGUCAGCUAUACUGCGUUGAAUACGUUCCCGGGGAUU